GGGGAACCGGCGGGGCUGCCUGCGCCCUGCCCGGGCGGCGGGCGGCGGGCGGCGGCCGGACUACGCCUCCCACAAUGCUCCAGCGCCGCGGCCCCGCGGUGCAUCGUGGGAGAUGUAGUCCCGCCGCGGCCGCCGCCGCCGCCGCCGGUUGCGUGCCGGCACGCGCGGGAGCCGGCCUCGCCGUGCGGGGAGCGCGACGGGGGCGAGGGUCGCGCUCAGUCGUGCUGGGCGGGGUGCGGCCGCCCGCGCCGAGCUGCUGCUGUGACGGGUUUGGGGCCAAGCCACCCCUCCUCUGGUGGCUUAUAAGAAGAAAUGGGGGAGAAAGCAAAGCAAGGCCACCAUGGCAGGACGCUACAGCCCAGCCCAGGUGGACGCCCCGAUGUCAGAGCUGACGUACAAGAACAUAGAGCAGUACGAGCCAGUUGAUGCGGGUCCCCAGGAUGCCCCUGAGCUGGGCAAGGAGCAGCUGGACAUGGAUACCCCCCCGAAUCUUCCACAGCGCAGAUGGGGAGCAGAGCCACAGGGAACAGCAAGGCAGCCAGCCCAUGAAGACAGCCCCCAAGGUGAGCAGCUCGCUGACCAACCCUGACAACGUCCAAUACUCCACUGUCAAGAUCCAACCAGCCCCGCAGAGCCGCGCACCUGCCUUAGGCCUUACCUGCGACUGUGCCAACAUCAAGCACUACGCGUCAGCCGUGGGCAACCCCAUCACCCGUAGCCUGGCACCAGUCUCAGGAGUGGGGACUGGGGGUCACAGCCUGGGAUCAGUGAUGGGAGAGAAGAUCAGUGGAGCUUUAUGGGUGGAAGGGGCUAUGUUGGCUGGAAAUAGGCUCAGGUGAGGGAGAUUCCCUGCUCUCCAUCAUUGCUGACCUCGUGAAGGAACACCUUAAGAGGCUGGACACCUUCAAGUCAGCUGGCCCUGAUAGCCUACACCCCAGGGUACACAAGCAGCUGGCGUGCAUCAUAGCCCAGUCCCUGGCACAGAUCUUUGAGAACUCCUGGCACUCUGGUGAAGUGCCCGAAGAUUGGAAGAAGGUCAGUGUGGUGCCUAUCUUCACGAAAGGGAGGAAAGUGGAUCUGGCAAACUACAGGCUCAGCAGCUUGACCUCUAUCCUGAGGAAGGUCUUAGAAACGAUUAUUAAAGAGGCCAUUCUUAACUGACUGGCCGUCGGCAAUGUGGCAGAAGGCCACCUCUUGUUUCUCCCCAAAAACUCUGCUCUGUGACAGUUUGUUAACAUGGGCCCUGCAGAGGGUACACACCUUACCCUAUGUAACCUAAGCUGGAUACAUUCCUGACGGAGGGGGGAACCUGCUCCCUCUGCCCACGUGACUGGCAUCACAUACCUAGGUGAGGGGCUUGGGUUCCCUGGGGAGCUAGGAACUGCCAGUCUGCCCAGAAACUAGUGAUGCAUUUCAAAUUGGUUGGCUGACAGCCAACAGGUGUUGGCCUCCAUUGGACCAGGUAAAUGAGGUCAUAAGCGCUAUAUAAGUUAAGGACUGCCCAGGAGGAGGAGGGGGCAGCAGCCAUGAGGAAGACUCAGAGACAGAGAAGAGCUGGACCACCUGAAACUUGCUCUCUCUCUCUCUCAAAACUCAUGAUCAAGGAACUGCCUGCCUCCAGGGGGAAUCUCCACCUGCCUCUGCAUGAUCCUUGUGACCUAUCACCUGGACAAGGGAGAAGAGAUUGAUGUCAUAUAUCUUGACUUCAAAAAGCCUUCGAUCUGGUAUCCCAUGAUCACCUCUUGGCGAAACUGGCCAACUGCGGCUUUGGGUCCACCACGAUCCGCUGGCUGGGGAAUUGGCUCCAUGGUUGGACCCAGAGGGUGGGGAGUGAUGGAAGUCAAUCAUCGUGGUGCCCUGUGACCAGUGGGGCUCCCCAAGGCUCUGUCCGUCCCCUGUAGCAGAAAGCCCCCUUUUCCUCUCACCUGUAGUUGCUCUCCCUUCUUUGGAUAUCUUUCUCUUCUACCUUUUCUUCCUUCCUCUUUCUUUCAGUAUAAGAUAAGGAAUUGUGUUUUAAAGUUUGUAUGUGUGUAUUUUGUAUCUCCCCUUGUAUUUUGAUAUUUUUAUCUAUUUGUGUGCCAUGCCAUUGCUCUUGUAGCUUAUAUUUUAUACUCCUCACCUUUUAACUAAAUGUGUUUAGUUUCAGAAAUAAGUUAUACAUUGUAACAAUGUUAACAAGGGCAGGAAUCAAACUGCGGUUUCCCUGUAUCAGGCGGGCCCCUGAAAGAGCGAGUGAAUCAGUGAUUGAAUGUGUAACACUGUAGCAGGCGGAAAUUAAAACCUAGGAAAACCGCAGAUCAAUCAAGGGAAGAACUCAAUAGGAGACAAUGUAACAGCCGGGAAUUCUCUAAACUUUACUGUUCAAGGGCUAGAAACCCUGGUCUGAGAUAAUCAACACCGGGGACCAACUUUUGGGGCUGAAUAUCUCCAGAUCGACUGCUCCCAGAGCCCUAUUCAAAAUUCAUCAACGGACUCCCAAACCUGCAUGUACAUGCGGACGACCCCUGGGGCUGACAGAUGCCAUCCAGUAGCCACCGAGGGGGAAGUCCCACGAGGGUCAAUGACCCCUGGAUUGGGCAAACCUGAAAACUGGGGAGUCACCAAAGUCUGGCAAGGACAGAUAAAAAGCAGUGCAAAGUGACCCUCAGCAGCGCCCUCUUGAUCUCCAACUUGACCAGCACCCGACCUGUCCAGCCAGAAGGACCAGCCGGCGACCCCCUUCUGGAGGAUAACACCACGCUGGAAGAAGCCUCAACUGGCCAUCGACGGUAGACUCCAGCGCCUAUGAGAUAGCUGGAACCCUGUUCACUUCAGCUGCCCCUGCCCUGAUGGCCUCCUGGCACUGGAACUACGUGGCCAUGGUCCUGCUGACCCCCCUCGGCCUGCUGGGAGGUGCUGACCUUAAGGACUGGGUUGUGGCCCUCCCAAAAGACCCCAUGGAUGUGCAGGAGGGCUCCUGCGUGACCCUCGAGUGCAGCUACAACAUCCCUCUGGGGAAGGACAUUGGAGCUGUGUGCUGGAAGCAGAAUAGAGUCAUUAUUGCUUAUCACUCAGACAAGGCUUAUGUUGAUGCGGCCUUCAAAAACCGGACCUGGUCCUUCAGCAAACACCCGGGCAACUGCUCUCUGCAGCUCAUGGGGCUGCGCCUAGGGGAUCAGGGUACCUACCAGGUCUGCACUGGGAAAGGGAAUGAAGAGUGGUGCAGCCCUGGGGCCGUGCAGCUCCGUGUGACUGCCCACCCAUGCCGUCCUAGCCUGAAGACACCACGGGGACAGGGGUCCCUCUCCUGCUCCGUGCAGCCUGACUGCCAGGGAUCCCCUGUCUGGGACAAACGGGAUGACCAGAGGAUCCCGGCUGGGAUGGGGAACAGCUCGCUGCAGGUGUCCCCAUCCCAGCUGGGUCCUAACAUGAUGCUGAGCUGCCGGGUGGAUGGACACAGAGACCAGUGCAGCCCUGAACAGAACCAGCCCCUACAACUAGGGAAUCUGCACUUGAAGAUCUUUCUCCCGGGGGCAAAGCAAGUGGUGAAGGAACAUGACUAUGUCACCAUGCGCUGCUUGGAUGCCACCCGGAUCCCCGUGGCCAGGUACUUCUGGACGCAUGGGGACAAGUGGCUGCAGGAAAGAGGGCAGAAUUUGCACAUCAGCGACACCAGCACUGCUCAUGGAGGUGUCUACACUUGCAGCAUCUGGGUCUCCGGCCCCGGGUGGGCGUUCCUGGUCUCCUCUGGCAACAAAUCCAUCACGGUUCAUUAUGCCCCUAAGGGGGUUAACAUCACGCCUCCGUCCCCAUCCAAGCUGAGUGAAGGGGAGUAUCUGAUCUUAACCUGCCAUUUCAACAGCAGCCUCCCCGAGGUGGUCACCUACAACUGGUACAAGGACAGCAUGGAGUGGAAGGGGUCCCAGAAGAUACUGAAGGUUGGAGCAAAGGAUGCUGGGAUAUAUCACUGUGUGGUGCAGAACGAGGUGGGGCCCACAGAGUCUUCCAGAAUCACCAUUCGGGCCUCCUCCCAAGGGCUGGUUUCCGCUUUGGCCGCCGGCAUCAGCGGUGCCGUGUUCCUGCUGCUUCUGCUGGGGCUGGGGCUGGCUCUGGCCUGCAGGAAGAAAUGGGGGAGAAAGCAAAGCAAGGCCACCAUGGCAGGACGCUACAGCCCAGCCCAGGUGGACGCCCCGAUGUCAGAGCUGACGUACAAGAACAUAGAGCAGUACGAGCCAGUUGAUGCGGGUCCCCAGGAUGCCCCUGAGCUGGGCAAGGAGCAGCUGGACAUGGAUACCCCCCCGAAUCUUCCACAGCGCAGAUGGGGAGCAGAGCCACAGGGAACAGCAAGGCAGCCACCAUCUACAGCCAGCCCAUGAAGACAGCCCCCAAGACCAACCCUGACAACGUCCAAUACUCCACUGUCAAGAUCCAACCAGCCCCGCAGAGCCGCGCACCUGCCUUAGGCCUUACCUGCGACUGUGCCAACAUCAAGCACUACGCGUCAGCCGUGGGCAACCCCAUCACCCGUAGCCUGGCACCAGUCUCAGGAGUGGGGACUGGGGGUCACGGCCUGGGAUCAGUGAUGGGAGAGAAGAUCAGUGGAGCUUUAUGGGUGGAAGGGGCUAUGUUGGCUGGAAAUAGGCCCAGGUGAGGGAGAUUCCCUGCUCUCCAUCAUUGCUGACCUCGUGAAGGAACACCUUAAGAGGCUGGACACCUUCAAGUCAGCUGGCCCUGAUAGCCUACACCCCAGGGUACACAAGCAGCUGGCGCGCAUCAUAGCCCAGUCCCUGGCACAGAUCUUUGAGAACUUCUGGCACUCUGGUGAAGUGCCCGAAGAUUGGAAGAAGGUCAGUGUGGUGCCUAUCUUCACGAAAGGGAGGAAAGUGGAUCUGGCAAACUACAGGCUCAGCAGCUUGACCUCUAUCCUGAGGAAGGUCUUAGAAACGAUUAUUAAAGAGGCCAUUCUUAACUGACUGGCCGUCGGCAAUGUGGCAGAAGGCCACCUCUUGUUUCUCCCCAAAAACUCUGCUCUGUGACAGUUUGUUAACAUGGGCCCUGCAGAGGGUACACACCUUACCCUAUGUAACCUAAGCUGGAUACAUUCCUGACGGAGGGGGGAACCUGCUCCCUCUGCCCACGUGACUGGCAUCACAUACCUAGGUGAGGGGCUUGGGUUCCCUGGGGAGCUAGGAACUGCCAGUCUGCCCAGAAACUAGUGAUGCAUUUCAAAUUGGUUGGCUGACAGCCAACAGGUGUUGGCCUCCAUUGGACCAGGUAAAUGAGGUCACAAGGGCUAUAUAAGUUAAGGACUGCCCAGGAGGAGGAGGGGGCAGCAGCCAUGAGGAAGACUCAGAGACAGAGAAGAGCUGGACCACCUGAAACUUGCUCUCUCUCUCUCUCUCUCUCUCUCUCUCAAAACUCAUGAUCAAGGAACUGCCUGCCUCCAGGGGGAAUCUCCACCUGCCUCUGCAUGAUCCUUGUGACCUAUCACCUGGACAAGGGAGAAGAGAUUGAUGUCAUAUAUCUUGACUUCAAAAAGCCUUCGAUCUGGUAUCCCAUGAUCACCUCUUGGCGAAACUGGCCAACUGCGGCUUUGGGUCCACCACGAUCCGCUGGCUGGGGAAUUGGCUCCAUGGUUGGACCCAGAGGGUGGGGAGUGAUUGAAGUCAAUCAUCGUGGUGCCCUGUGACCAGUGGGGCUCCCCAAGGCUCUGUCCGUCCCCUGUAGCAGAAAGCCCCCUUUUCCUCUCACCUGUAGUUGCUCUCCCUUCUUUGGAUAUCUUUCUCUUCUACCUUUUCUUCCUUCCUCUUUCUUUCAGUAUAAGAUAAGGAAUUGUGUUUUAAAGUUUGUAUGUGUGUAUUUUGUAUCUCCCCUUGUAUUUUGAUAUUUUUAUCUAUUUGUGUGCCAUGCCAUUGCUCUUGUAGCUUAUAUUUUAUACUCCUCACCUUUUAACUAAAUGUGUUUAGUUUCAGAAAUAAGUUAUACAUUGUAACAAUGUUAACAAGAGCAGGAAUCAAACUGCGGUUUCCCUGUAUCAGGCGGGCCCCUGAAAGAGCGAGUGAAUCAGUGAUUGAAUGUGUAACACUGUAGCAGGCGGAAAUUAAAACCUAGGAAAACCGCAGAUCAAUCAAGGGAAGAAAUCAAUAGGAGACAAUGUAACAGCCGGGAAUUCUCUAAACUUUACUGUUCAAGGGCUAGAAACCCUGGUCUGAGUUAAUCAACGCCGGGGACCAACUUUUGGGGCUGAAUAUCUCCAGAUCGACUGCUCCCAGAGCCCUAUUCAAAAUUCAUCAACGGACUCCCAAACCUGCACGUACAUGCGGACGACCCCUGGGGCUGACAGAUGCCAUCCAGUAGCCACCGAGGGGGAAGUCCCACGAGGGUCAAUGACCCCUGGAUUGGGCAAACCUGAAAACUGGGGAGUCACCAAAGUCUGGCAAGGACAGAUAAAAAGCAGUGCAAAGUGACCCUCAGCAGCGCCCUCUUGAUCUCCAACUUGACCAGCACCCGACCUGUCCAGCCAGAAGGACCAGCCAGCGACCCCCUUCUGGAGGAUAACACCACGCUGGAAGAAGCCUCAACUGGCCAUCGACGGUAGACUCCAGCGCCUAUGAGAUAGGUAUACCCGACUCUUGUAACUCGCUACUGCGUGUGUGCGUGUGUGUGUGUGUGUGUGUGUGUGUGUGUGUGGGGACCAGCCCCAAGGCUUAUGAUUUGACUUCAUUACAGUGUUUCAAUCUGCCUAAUAAACCAGAAUUUUAAGGACUCCCAGUUGGACAUUUGCAGCCAACAGACCUAUAUUGUUCGACAUCUUAAUGAUGUGGACAUUGGAGUCCGAAGUGGACUGGCCAAGUUUGCUGAUGAUACCAAACUCUGGGGUAAAGCAUCCGCACCUGAGGAAGGAGGGUGAUCCAGGCUGACCUCGACAGGCUCAAGAAAUGGGCGGACGAGAACCUGAUGGUGUUUAACACUGAAAAAAUGCAAGGUUCUCCACCUUGGGAGGAAAAACCUGCAGCAUCCUUAUAGGCUCGGCAGUGCUAUGCUGGCUAGCGCUACAGAUGAAAGGGACUUGGGGCUCACAAGAUGAACAUGAGCCUUCAAUGUGAUGCUGCGGCUAGUUAAAUGACGAAAAUGCUGGCUUGCAUCCAUAGAUGCUUCUCAAGCAAAUCCUGGGAUGUCAUUCUCCCAUUGUACUCGGCCUUGGUGAGGCUGCAGCUGGAGUACUGCGUCCAGUUUUGGGCUUCACAAUUCAAAAAGGAUGUGGAGAAGCUUGAAAGAGUCCAGAGGAGAGCCACGCGCAUGAUCAGAGGUCAGGAAAACUGAUCUUAUGAUUACAGGCUGAGAGCCAUGGGGCUUUUUAGCCUGGAAAAGUGCAGGCUCAGGGGCGAUCUGAUGGCCACCUAUAAGUUUAUCAGGGGUGCGCGCCAGGAUCUGGGGGAACAAUUGUUCACCAGAGUGCCCCAAGGGAUGACAAGGUUGAAUGGUUAUAAACUACUGCAAGACCGUUUCAGGCUGGACAUAAGGAAGAAUUUCUUUACUGUCCGAGCCCCCAAGGUCUGAAAUAGCCUGCCAUUGGAGGUGGUACAAACACCUACAUUGAACACCUUCAAGAGAAAUUUGGAUGCCUAUUUUGCUGGGAUCCUAUGACCCCAGCUGACUUCCUGCCCCUGGGGCAGGGAGCUGGACUCAAUGAUCUUCUGAGGUCCCUUCCAGCCCUAAUGUCUAUGAAAUUUUCUCCCCAUUUUCUGAGUCCCAUGGUCCCUAGGGCAUUGAAUCAUGCUAAUUAGGCUCUGUUAUGAAUUGAUUGCCUUAGACCUGGCUUCUCAGGACAGCUAAGUACAAUGUAAACCUCUUUUAACAAGGUGUGGAUAAUGGUGUGCAAUGUAAGAAGCUUUAACAAGGCCUGAGUGGCAGUCUGGAGUAGUGCAAGUUAUUAAUGAGGUUUGGACAGCUAUGCAGUUUUGAAUGAGGUAUGGACUGAAUGUUGGCACAAAAUGUAAUAAGCUUUAAUGAGGCAUGGAAGGUGGGACAAAAUACUUGUGUGCUUUUAAGGAGAUGUGCCUAAACAGAAGCAAGUGUUUUUUAAUGAGGUGGGGGUGGUCACACAGACUGUAACAAGCUUUAACAAGGCAGGGAUGGUGGGGCCAAAUGUUGUAAUGCUUUUAAGAAAGUGUGGGCUAUUGAUCAUUAACUAGAUAUAAUGUGCUAUGUAAUAAGCCUUACCAAGGCUUGGGGAGCAGAACAUAAUGUAACAAGCCUUAAUGAGGUGUGGACAGCUAUUUCCCCACCCUUUGUUUGAAAUUUCCAAAUGGAAAUCCAUGGCGUUUCCUAUUUGCAUAAUUGACCUACCUACCCAUCUUCCCUACAGGCCUCUUCAGUGGCUGAGAUUUUAGGCAUUGUAAUAAUAAUGAGUAAUGUGUAUUUUACCCUAACUUGUAUCUGCCUUGGGUGGGCAUCUUUCUGGGGUGAUUUUAGAGCAGAGGUUUAGAACAGGGGGAACAGAUGCCCCUUUCCAAGCCCACUGUUGUUCUUCCCCGUGUGAUUCCUUUUUGCUUUCAACUAAAGCCCCAUCCUAUGCAGAAAGAGAGAGAAGAAAGAGAAGGAGAAAUCAGUGUCUUUGCUGCCUGACACUAUGGAUGAUUUGUGUGGUGGAUAACACAGAGGAUGCCUGAGCACUGUCAGAAGAGAAACAAGUUCUGGGUCAUAACCAUGGGCUCAGGGCAUGAAGGCUAGAGACAAGGCAAUGCCUGCAGCCCCAGUCUCCAGCUAGUUUGAGCAGAUGUUUUUCAGGCAACCCCUCUAGAACAGAGCUGGCAGAUUCUUCUGCCCCCCAGGACACACAUGGACCGUGGGGCUCCUUGUGGGCUGGAUACGCACCUGGGAACACAGCCGUCUGGGGACAAACACAGGCACAUAUCAUCUGUGGGGCUCUACCCUAGAUUUUAGUGGCACGCGUCACCCCCACUCACCCCAGCUUCUCUAGGAGCCCUGGCGGGUGGGUACAAGUGUAUCCAUGGGCUGUAUGUUUGACACCCCUACUCUAGGACUUUGUGUGUAGCACGUACUCACAGGAUGGGUGGAUCAAUGAACCGGUCGCUAUCCAAGGCUGCAGGUAGAAAUACCUUGAAGCAGACGACAGAGAGAAGGGGUUGAUUGGUAAAAUAUCAUUUCUUUCCUUCAGAGUACAAAAUCGGCUGGAUGAAAGGCAUUAUAUGCUCGGGCAUCUCACCAAACACUGGCCUGUGCCGAGACUGAUGUGAGCCUGGGAUUAAAACCGUUCUCCUGA